UUUUCAGACUAAGGUGGUGCAGCCCUAGGGCUGUGGCUGGACAGAGGCUGUCUGCUGGUGUGAGUAGAGGGGGCAUUCCCAGACAUUAUGGGAACAGAGAUGGGAUUUGUAGCCAUGAACACCAAGAAAACAAGAGGCAAAGAGAGGCAGAUGCCAUGCAGACAAAUGUUGAGGGGUCCGGCCUUGCUGUCUAAGGAUCUGCCAGUUCUGCACUGAAAUUUUGAGUGAAGUCUUGCUGGAUAAAGUACAUUAAAAUCAAUGGAAAGUCUGGUUUAAAGGCAACAGAUGUGUUUUACUGAAGAUUAUUCAGAACCACAGGUUGGGCCCUGCCAUCUGCUGAAUUUGGAUAUGAUGUCUGCAAAGCUGGUGUGGAAAUAAAACAAAACUCUGCCUUUGGGAGAGAAACUGCCAAUGCCUUUGUAGCUACAACUGUCUCCCACAGAAAAUUACCUUUCUUAUUUUGUGAGAUAUGUACCCUCUCCAUACAAACGUAAGCUAAGGUUAAAUUCCAGCUCUCAGAGCUCGAUUUUAUCUCAAGUCCCUGCUAAAAUGCCUCAGUACUUGAUUGGAGAAGAGCAUGAGGACUCUGCUCUAGUAAGACCUGCUUUGAGUGUGGAAGUAGACCAUGGACCUUCAUAGGUCUUUUUCAACCUGUGUGGCUGUAGAAUCAAAAUUAUUACAUCUGUGGAAUCACAUGAACAUGGAAGUAUCUUUCUUUGUCAAAUUUGGUAAGGAAAGAUGGAUCUCUCAGUCAGGAAUACAAACAGAAAGAACAGACAACAGAGUUUUACUAGAAAGGUUGUUUAUUUUGUUGAAAGUUUGCUUGUAAAUAACUAUUUAAAAAAAAAAAAAAAAAAAGAAAAAAAAAUUAGCCUGCAUCCAGACAAGUUGCUGUUGAAAUACCCAAUCUAGUGAUUCACAGCUCCUCACCACUGGAAGGAAGGCUUUUCCCUUCUCUUUUCAAAUGCAGUGUCUUCUCACUAAGACAUUGAUUCCCAAUGCAGCUAGAAAAUCCUCUUGAGCUUCUAAUCUAAUAGAGAGACCUGUUAUUUUAUGUCCUGUGUUCUGCCAGAAUCAUGCUUAUGUUGGACAUGUCUUGGAAACAAACGCAGUUUUGGUCUAAUUUAAUAACUUGUUUUGGACAAUAAAGCCUUGAGUCCUGCUGCUGGCCCAUCAAGAAAGAAUCCUCUUGUGCAUGCAGUAGUAGCUGUGUUCAAAAAUAGUCUCCAAACUAUUGGGAAUAAACCCAAGAAAAAUGACAGUUUGUUUAAAAAACAGUCACUAAAUCUGUUUUAAAGUGAAUGAAACCAAAAUCUUAAGGCCACAUUUCAAAAAGCUAAUGCUAUGCCUUGAACUUAUAUAGCCUGUGAUACAGCAACUCAGCUCCACUCUCCCCUGAUAGAAAAGAGAGGGAAAAGGCUUUUGUGUAUUUGAAACUGCAUUUUUCGUCUGAACUGCAGAACAAAAUCCAACAGGAAUUAAGAAUUCACAGUAACCUCCCAUUUUCUGUUCUGAGGGUGAUGUACACUUCUCUGACCUGUGGCACAGAAAAGAGGAACAAAAAUCACUCUACCUGUGAUAGGUCAAAGGCAGCAGCACCAGAUGGAGCCCUUGCCUGAGAUGCCCCACUGGCAGGGUGGGCACUGCCCAAGUACCAGUAACUCAGAAACAGCUCCCAGCAGGCUCAGUAAAAGCAGCACCUCUGUUGUGAAGGAGCAGUGAAUGAACCACUCAGGCGAGAUGGGAAUUACAGCUCCAAAAUGAACAAGAAUCCUGCACAACAGCAGGACCUGAUCUAAUCUUUCCUUUGCCUCUGUGCUGGUAGGAAGGCAAGGUUGGCGUUUUCAAACCCCCUUCCCUUUGACUGGAAAGACUAGUGAAAAAACUACCUGUGCUCCAGAAGAUGAUUAAGAGACUGGAGUAUUUCUCUUAUGAGGAAAGGCUGAGGGAGCUGAGCCUGCUCAGUGUUGAGAAGAGAUGGCUGAGAGGGGACCUCAUCAAUGUCUGUCAGUGUCUGCAGAGAGGGGUCAGAGGAUGGACCAGGCUCUGCUCCGGGGUGCCCAGCAAGGGGACAAGAGGCAACAGGUAGAAACUGAUGCCCAGAAGAUUCAUCAAAAUGUAAGGAAGAGCUUCUUGUGAGUGACAGUGCACUGCAACAGGUUUCCUGGAGAGACUAGAGAGUCUCCCUCACUGGAGAUAUUUCAGAACUGUCUGGACACAGUCCUGUGCAAUGUUCUCUGGGAUGACCCUGCAACAGUGAGUUUGGACUGGAUGACCCACUGUGGGCCCUUCCAAAGUUACCCGCUCUGUGACUGUGCUAGGCCCUGUUCUCUCAGGAAUUCAUGUCUUAUCAAGAGCAAACAGUACCAGCCUGAGAGGGGACUAGACAAAACUAGAACUGCUUACAGCUCCACUCCU